rnacentral:lncRNA from 1 species
GUCUGCCUUGAGUGGGCUGGGCGGGGCUGCAGGAGCAUACAGAGGGUUUCGCUAAUUUGAUGAUGCAUUUUAAUGGGUCUUUCAGUCUUGUCAGAACUUCGGAAACAUCCUUUAGGGCGCCUGAGCUGGGCUGCAUGUUAUCAAGUGAGCCCAAUGAGGAACAGACCCCGAGCAGGGCGUGUGGGUUGGUGGUUAAAGCAGGGGCUGGGAGCCUGGGUUCGCUUCUACAGGGAGANAGGAUUCCUGGGUUCGCUUCUACAGGGAGACCUGCCCUGGUUUAAGGGGAAAUAGCAACAAUUUCAGACCCGGGUUUUGAUCAGAAACAUCCAGGAGAGAAUUUCAUCCAAAAAAAAAAAAAAACUGGAAUAAGGGAAACCAAACCAACUUUGAAGUGUCAGAGAAUCUCACAAAAUGCUUUCCCAACAGGCUGCUUAGACGUUGUCGUCAGCACUUUGGGGUCGGGACUGUUUUUCUGUCUCUGUUUGUACAGCACCUAGCACAGCGGGGGUCUGGUCCGUGGCUGGGGCUCCUCGGUACCACAAAUAAUCAGACCGCUCGGUGGAUCUCAGUUGGCAUCCCCUGCAUGUCUGGCAGAUCCGAAGCAUGAAGGGAGAUCUACAUUAAACAUGAAGGCCUGG